AGAGUUUGAUCCUGGCUCAGGACGAACGCUGGCGGCGCGCCUAACACAUGCAAGUCGAACGGAGCUUAGAGAGCUUGCUUUUUAAGCUUAGUGGCGAACGGGUGAGUAACGCGUGAGUAACCUGCCCUGGAGUGGGGGACAACAGUUGGAAACGACUGCUAAUACCGCAUAAGCCCACGGUACCGCAUGGUACUGAGGGAAAAGGAUUUAUUCGCUUUAGGAUGGACUCGCGUCCAAUUAGCUAGUUGGUGAGGUAACGGCCCACCAAGGCGACGAUUGGUAGCCGGACUGAGAGGUUGAACGGCCACAUUGGGACUGAGACACGGCCCAGACUCCUACGGGAGGCAGCAGUGGGGGAUAUUGCACAAUGGGGGAAACCCUGAUGCAGCGACGCCGCGUGGAGGAAGAAGGUCUUCGGAUUGUAAACUCCUGUUGUUGAGGAAGAUAAUGACGGUACUCAACAAGGAAGUGACGGCUAACUACGUGCCAGCAGCCGCGGUAAAACGUAGGUCACAAGCGUUGUCCGGAAUUACUGGGUGUAAAGGGAGCGCAGGCGGGAAGACAAGUUGGAAGUGAAAUCCAUGGGCUCAACCCAUGAACUGCUUUCAAAACUGUUUUUCUUGAGUAGUGCAGAGGUAGGCGGAAUUCCCGGUGUAGCGGUGGAAUGCGUAGAUAUCGGGAGGAACACCAGUGGCGAAGGCGGCCUACUGGGCACCAACUGACGCUGAGGCUCGAAAGUGUGGGUAGCAAACAGGAUUAGAUACCCUGGUAGUCCACACCGUAAACGAUGAUUACUAGGUGUUGGAGGAUUGACCCCUUCAGUGCCGCAGUUAACACAAUAAGUAAUCCACCUGGGGAGUACGACCGCAAGGUUGAAACUCAAAGGAAUUGACGGGGGCC
rnacentral:rRNA from 1 species